UCUUAUGGAUGAGUAAAGGAAGUGGUUUCUUGAGAUGGAAUCUACUCCUGGUGAAGAUGCUGUAAA
rnacentral:pre_miRNA from 1 species